UUGCAACCAGCUAAGCUGAACAUGCGCUUUUCAGGGCUUGGUGUGCCAUGGCUGGAACGGCCGUCUCCUCGGUUGCCUGUGUGCGUUGCCUGUGUGUGUCGCUCUAAGGGACCUGGGAGGCAGCC
ensembl:snoRNA SNORA70 Small nucleolar RNA SNORA70